GCCACCACCGCCUCCACCUCCUCCUCCACCCCCUCCUCCACCGCUUCCUCCACCUCCACCUCCACCUCCACCACCAUCACCGCCGCCACCAUAUGUGUAUCCUCCGCCGCCCCCACCACCACCGUCACCACCACCUCCUUGUAACGAUCUUCCAACGCCGGUGCAUUACUAAGGCUCCUUUUGACCGAGUGGUGGGAUGCAAUAGUUGAAACUGCCAUCUGUUUAGUUAUUGUGUUCUACGUUAUGUAACGCUAGUGUUCAUUUAAUUGCUCUUUAUUUUCUUUAAAUUUAUUUAUCAAAAAGUUGAAUGAGCUUUAAUUGUUUGUCUAAUAAAAAAAGUAGACAAAUGAAGAUUGAAGGGAGAUAUGUGUAAUUUGCUUUGGCGAGAAGACAAGUUUAUUGCAUAGUACGUGUACUUAAUAAGAUAUGAUCACGAGUCGCAUCUUUCACUUUCCCAUCGUUACAUUCUCGUACUUGUAGCUUUAGUCUCAGUCGGACCAUACAAGAAAUCAUCUCUCUAGUUAUUGCAUGUCCCAUUGUACAUUUAAUUUUCACCA
rnacentral:lncRNA from 1 species